rnacentral:rRNA from 1 species
AACGAACGCUGGCGGCAGGCCUAACACAUGCAAGUCGAACGCCCGUAGCAAUACGGGGAGUGGCAGACGGGUGAGUAACGCGUGGGAACGUGCCCCUUCGGUUCGGAAUAACUCAGGGAAACUUGAGCUAAUACCGGAUACGUCCGUAAGGAGAAAGAUUUAUCGCCGAAGGAUCGGCCCGCGUCGGAUUAGCUAGUUGGUGAGGUAACGGCCCACCAAGGCGACGAUCCGUAGCUGGUCUGAGAGGANGAUCAGCCACACUGGGACUGAGACACGGCCCAGACUCCUACGGGAGGCAGCAGUGGGGAAUAUUGGACAAUGGGCGAAAGCCUGAUCCAGCCAUGCCGCGUGAGUGAAGAAGGCCUUAGGGUUGUAAAGCUCUUUCAGCGGGAAGAUAAUGAC